AGUGCGGAAGCUUGGGAUCUUCUGAGCGGGGAGAAAAUGGACGGUGGGGAACAGUAGACAAAGUUAGCUGUUCUACUCAAAGAAGUACCUUUAAAAAGUCAGAGUAAUGAGGUACCAGAAGGAAAUGGAUUAAAAAGUUAAGAUUAUCACUCCAGCCUUUGUCGCUAGAGUCACUUUCAGGACAGGACACAAGACUGGGUUUUCCUGGAAGCUGUCCUUACAGAGCCCCGUCUUUCCCCAUUGCUGAUCAAAUUGUUAAAUUAUCUUUUCAUUAGUGUCUCCACUACUAGAAGAUUUCAUCGUUUUACUAAAAAAAAAAAAAAAAAAAUUCAAUAGAGAUGGGGUCUUGCCUAUGCUGGACUCAAACUCCUGAGUUUGAUCUCCUGCCUAAGCCUUCCCAGUAGCUGGGACUACAGGGACAAGCCACCGUGCCUUUACUCAGUUUUAUGACCACCAACCUUUAACAUACGCACAAGUUUGUAGAUUGGAUUAAUCAAAUACAAGGUUAUUUUCGUCACCUUAUUUGACAGAUGGGACAGUCUUUAGGCCUGUCUCAACUUUGCUUCCAGCAAAGGGGCAGUGCCUCCUCCCCUACCUGAAGUCUCGUGUGGUCUUUAUGGGCGCCUGAACCACACCUGGAUUUUUUCCCAAGUCAUAGCCCAAACUGGGACUGCUUUAAAUAUGGGAAGCAACAAGGAAUUGAUAAAAACAAUAAACCCCGAGGAGGUCCAUUAUCAGUUUGGCUAGCAGACUCUCCACUAAGAAAGGAAGUGCAUCAAAGAAAGUACAGCCAGCCCCAAAUAUGUAAUAACAAAGGAACUGCAGAUGUCCCAGCACUUGGCUGCUACAGGGGCUGGAGACUUCACCUAGGUCCUGAUUUUUUUAGACAGGGUUUUCUCAGGCCAACUUCUACUUGGAAGCUAGUAACCUUCGACCAGUUAGAUAAGAGCCCCUAACAGACACUUAAAGAACUAAGGAAGCUCCAGAUACAAAAUAGGGAAGAGGUUGUAGCUCCAUAGAGGGAGGCCAGUCUGCUGCUUUUUCUGCUGUUUGUGGCACACAGAU
rnacentral:lncRNA from 10 species